rnacentral:misc_RNA from 1 species
UUUCCGUAGGUGAACCUGCGGAAGGAUCAUUACCGAGUGAGGGCCCUCUGGGUCCAACCUCCCACCCGUGUUUAUCGUACCUUGUUGCUUCGGCGGGCCCGCCGCAAGGCCGCCGGGGGGCGUCUGCCCUCUGGCCCGCGCCCGCCGAAGACACCAUUGAACGCUGUCUGAAGAUUGCAGUCUGAGCAAUUAGUUAAAUAACUUAAAACUUUCAACAACGGAUCUCUUGGUUCCG